rnacentral:lncRNA from 1 species
AGAGAGGAAGAGAACAUAUAAAAUAUAAAUAGCUCACCUACGUCAAAUUUCCAAAGCACAGGAUUUGGAUCACACAAUAAGGAGACCCUGGCACUGCGCUUUCUGGCGCCUCUCCACUAGGUUCCAGGCCUGGCUAGAUCAGGACAUCUCACUGGGAGGCCACAUUGGAGAGAUGGCAUGACAUCAUUAUUGCCUCAGGGCCAAAAGCCCCGAUUCAUACUUGCAACUCUCUCCUGCCAGGCCUCCCACUCAGCUCCCUUUCUGGUCUAAAGAUUGUGACUCAUCCUCAGCCGUGCAUGGCGGCCAUUCUCAAUCUUUUCUCCACCACCUACACACAAUGGAUGACAUCCAUAUUCAUACGCACUCUCAAAGGUUAAACCCAAUUUUAUCGAAACCCUGGAAGAAUUUUGGCAGGAAAUCAAAGCCAAUGGCAAAAAUAACUAUUACAUUUCAAUGCAAUACGAUGACUUGAAAAUGACGUGACAAUUGGUGUGUUAGCAAUCUUCCCACCGCUGCUGGGUGCACAUGUAGCAAAGGUCUUGGAACCAAUUCCUGAGAGCUGGCUGUGAUGCCACUCCCUCUUCUCCCCAGUUAGUGAGGGGGACAUUAUUAUAGGGGUAACUUAGUGUGUCACUGUUAAGCCUCAUGCAUGUAUUUUUAAUAGCAGUUAUUGGGGCUUAUUGUGUAUCUGUGUACAUGUCUGUUUUCACAAAUAA